rnacentral:rRNA from 1 species
AACGAACGUUGGCGGCGUGGAUGAGGCAUGCAAGUCGAACGAGAAAGGCGCAAGCUGAGUACAGUGGCGGACGGGUGAGUAACACGUGACUGAGCUGCCCUAGAGACGGGGAUAACCGCGGGAAACUGCGGCUAAGACCCGAUGGUUCUGUUGUGCUGCAUGGUGCGACAGCUAAAUGCCCGGGAUCCUUCGGGACCGGGUGCUCUGGGAUGUGGUCACGGCCUACCAGCUAGUUGGCGGGGUAAUGGCCCACCAAGGCGACGACGGGUAGCCGGCCUGAGAGGGUGGUCGGCCACAUUGGGACUGAGACACUGCCCAGACUCCUACGGGAGGCUGCAGUCGAGGAUCUUCCGCAAUGGACGCAAGUCUGACGGAGCGACGCCGCGUGGAGGAUGAAGGCCUUCGGGUUGUAAACCGCUUUGUCAGGGAAGAAACGGCUCGGGCUAAUACCUCGGGCUAAUGACGGUACCUGAAGAAU